UUCUUAAAAUGUUUUGAACACAAUAUUCAUCAUUUUCCUUAUUUUUUAUUAUAUUUUUCUUUUUCCUUCACGUGGGCACCAUGAAUUUUCACUUAUCCUUUCAUUUUUUAAAAUUUUUUUCUCUAUUCCCACUUAUAUUUAUAUUAUAUUUUAUAAUGAUCAAAUUACCAAAUUACCCCUGCAUUAUUUGAUAUAUUAUAUUGGGCUGCGUUUGAAUUUUUUUAAUUGAGGGGCAAUUUUGUCCUAAUAUUUUUGUCAAAUGCGUGAUCCCAUAGUUUUUGUCAACAUGUGUGACCCCAAAUUGGGGCUCUCGCUUUCUAGUAUGUAGAUAUAGAUUACUCUUGUUAAGAUAGUUGUUUAAGAUUUCCUCGUUUAUUGGGUUAAACUUAAAAUUCUUAGACAAUGACUGACAAAUGGAAUCAUAAAGCACUAUCAUUACUUUACUAUAUUAUACUUUUCGUAGACGC
rnacentral:lncRNA from 1 species